AGUAUCAAGUGAUGAAACCACAAAAUAAUCUUAGUAUACGGUUUAGACACAGUGUUUUUAGCCUAUGAAUGAGAAGUCAUCUAGUUCCCGAUGAUAAU